GACGAACGCUGGCGGCGUGCUUAACACAUGCAAGUCGAACGGAAAGGCCCCUUUGGGGGUACUCGAGUGGCGAACGGGUGAGUAACACGUGAGUAACCUGCCCUUGACUUCGGGAUAACUUCAGGAAACUGGGGCUAAUACCGGAUAGGAAUCCUUGCUGCAUGGUGGGGGUUGGAAAGCUUCGGCGGUUUUGGAUGGACUCGCGGCUUAUCAGCUUGUUGGUGGGGUAGUGGCUUACCAAGGCUUUGACGGGUAGCCGGCCUGAGAGGGCGACCGGCCACAUUGGGACUGAGAUGCGGCCCAGACGCCGACGGGAGGCAGCAGUGGGGAAGAUUGCACAAUGGGCGGAAGCCGGAUGCAGCAACGCCGCGUGCGGGAUGACGGCCUUCGGGUUGUAAACCGCUUUCAGCAGGGGCGAAGCUUGUGGUGACGGUACCUGCAGAAGAAGCACCGGCUAACUACGUG
rnacentral:rRNA from 1 species